CAGAGUCCCGGUGGCCGGCGUGCCCCUACGCGCGCGUCCGCCACCGUCCUCACCACCCGUGUCUACCGUACCCCGUUGCUUCGGCGGGCCCGCCGCCCCGCGGCCGCCGGGGGACCCCGUAUCCCCGGGCCAGCGCCCGCCGAAGCCCCCCUGAACGCUGCCCGGAAGUUUGCUGUCUGAGCGUUGGCAAUAAAUCGUUA
rnacentral:misc_RNA from 1 species